rnacentral:lncRNA from 1 species
GUGUGUGUGUGUGUGUGUGUCAGCUGCUCUGCCCUGCAGUGUGAUCCAAGGUAAUUCUCCUGUGUCAGCUCACGGCACACACUCGCUGCCUGUCUGUGUCCGAUCGCUGUCCGGCCCCUGCAUGCUCUCGUUGCGGUCUGAGAGGGGUCGGGUCACAGCCUGCCACGCCCCGAUCACCGCCGCGCCAAUCCCGCACAGAUAAUCUGCCCGUGCUGCACGCUUUCUGACGCGCCAGCACUGCUCUCUGCGCCGCUGUGAAGAAUACCGCCACCCGCGCUGACGGCCGCCCUCUUUCUGUUUCUGUCUUCCAGGGGGCCCUUCUGUCACAAAUAACCAGGAUGGCGGCCUGCACUACGCCGAUCCGCGGUUCGUUAAGGACGCUGGAUCGGGCGGCGCGGCCCGGUCAGGGCAGGACAACUCCGAGUACGCCCAGAUCGGACUGAACUACGCCACCCACCCGCCCCCCAAACAGGAGCCCACCCUGUA